UACAGAGGGGGCAAGCGUUGUUCGGAAUUACUGGGCGUAAAGGGCGCGUAGGCGGCCUGUUAAGUCGGACGUGAAAUCCCUCGGCUCAACCGGGGAACUGCGUCCGAUACUGGCGGGCUUGAAUUCGGGAGAGGGACGUGGAAUUCCAGGUGUAGCGGUGAAAUGCGUAGAUAUCUGGAGGAACACCGGUGGCGAAGGCGGCAUCCUGGACCGACAUUGACGCUGAGGCGCGAAAGCCAGGGGAGCAAACGGG
rnacentral:rRNA from 1 species